rnacentral:sRNA from 1 species
CACCAUGUGAGGUUUAAGAAAUAGCAGUAAAUCUGAAAACAUUCAAUUGUGUUAAUGACACACACAAAUCGACACAUACGCCGGGGUGCUCUUAUGUAAAGGUUUAAUCUUUACAGCUGAUGAGUCGGUCGUAUGGGAUUUGUGGAGGAAAUAAC